rnacentral:rRNA from 1 species
CGCUGAGCUUGGUGCUUGCACUGGGUGGAUGAGUGGCGAACGGGUGAGUAAUACGUGAGUAACCUGCCCUUGACUCUGGGAUAAGCCUGGGAAACUGGGUCUAAUACUGGAUACGACAUGUCACCGCAUGGUGGUGUGUGGAAAGGGUUUUACUGGUUUUGGAUGGGCUCACGGCCUAUCAGCUUGUUGGUGGGGUAAUGGCUCACCAAGGCGACGACGGGUAGCCGGCCUGAGAGGGUGACCGGCCACACUGGGACUGAGACACGGCCCAAACUCCUACGGGAGGCAGCAGUGGGGAAUAUUGCACAAUGGGCGAAAGCCUGAUGCAGCGACGCCGCGUGAGGGAUGACGGCCUUCGGGUUGUAAACCUCUUUCAGCACGGAAGAAGCGAAAGUGACGGUACGUGCAGAAGAAGCGCCGGCUAACUACGUGCCAGCAGCCGCGGUAAUACGUAGGGCGCAAGCGUUGUCCGGAAUUAUUGGGCGUAAAGAGCUCGUAGGCGGUUUGUCGCGUCUGCUGUGAAAGCCCGGGGCUUAACCCCGGGUGUGCAGUGGGUACGGGCAGACUUGAGUGCAGUAGGGGAGACUGGAAUUCCUGGUG